UAAUAUUCAUAUUAAUAUAUAGCUAUUAAUUUUCUAAUUUAUUCAAUAUUUGUAUACCAAAUUUAUAGUGACUCUCUUGCAAAUGUCUUUUCUUUACCUACACAAUUAGUGAUAAGAUUCUCUCUUUAGGCUGAUAAAUAUCAUGUGUUGUAUUAAUGAACUUUCUUAUAAUGAAUGACUUAACAUCUAGGAAUAAAUACUACUUUGCUGUGAUUUAUACUCUGUAAUGUGCUGUUAGAUCCUGUAUACUUACUUUUUUUUAUGAUUUUGACAUUGAUAUUCAUGAGUGAAACUGAGCUUUAGUUUUUAAUGUAACUUUUGUCAGAUUUUGAAAUUGAUGUUAUAUGCACUCAGCUCAAUGUAGUUGAGAUUUUCUUUUCUUAUAAUGCUCUGUAACAGUGUAAGUAGUAAGGUGAUGAUCUGAUUGGUAAAGCUUUAUAAAAUUUUUCUGUGAACCUGAAACUGCUGGGUUUUGUUGUUUUUGUUUGUUUGUUCUUUUAAUGCAGGGGCUAUUUUACUAUUUUCUAUAUUGUUUUUCUAACUUAAUUGCCUUGUCUAGAUUUUCUGCCUCAAAUUGGGAUAAUUUUGUGCUUCCUAAUGAUAAACCUGUCGUGGGUAACUUCAUGCAUACUGGAGAAGUAUCAUCCACAUCAAGCCUAGUCAAAUUCAACUCUACGUAUCUGUUAAGAGGGCAGAGGGGGAUCAGAGAUAGAAAGCGAGAAGAGAGAAAAACAAAGGCAAAAGGAGGUAAUAAAUAAAAGUGUGCCCUCCUGGAUUUUAUGGCUUGAAUUAUGCUCACAUCUAUGACUGCAAAAAAUGGAGCUAGUUGUGAUGCAGCAAGGGAACAGUGCAUUUGCCCAGCAGGUGUCCACAGCAGCCGAUGUGAAAAAGUGUUCACCUGGCAUGUUUGGAGAUGAUUGCCAUCAACUUUGUGACUGUGAAGGAGAAACCUUCUGCCACCCAAAAACUGAAAAAUGCCUCUGCCCCCCUGGGAGAACUGAGUCAGAUGUGAUGCUGGUAAGUCUCCUGUAUUGGGCAUUCAGCGUGAGUGUUGCCUUUCUCUGACCUCAAGACAACUAGCCAACUUUCCCUGUGUCCUUCACAAUGCAACCACUAAAGCUCUACUGAAUACUCUGAUUCUGAGAAGGCACCUUAAAAAUGGGUCUCAGCUAUGAACCUUGUGAUGGAUUGAAGAAAAUACGUUACCUUAUCUCCUCUUCAUUGCCGAGUGCAGAAAGCUGGUCUAAGCCCUGGAUGUUACAGUUCUCCUGUCUAUGGCAUGUAUUUGUAUUUCAGAAUCAAAGUAAAAGAAAUCUACAUUUUUAAUAUUAUCAAAGAAACAUACCCAAACAGCUGAAUUAUCCCUCUAGUAUUUACACGUUUGAGUAGAAUAGGUUUUCUAAAUAUCUAAGUUGCCUAAAAUUCUAAAUAUCUUUAUGAAGUUCUUUUUGUUAGAAGAUAAUUGGUCAUGGGUAUUUGAAAGAAAAGUUUCUAGGACUCUUUGGUUGUUUCCUAAAAGUAUAGUGUUAUAAAAAUGUUUGCUUCCUACUCACAGUCAGUGAGAGGUAAGGGUAUCACACACAUUGGGGACCACCCAAAGAAUACCCUGGACUAGGGGACUUGGAUGUUUAGGAAGAUUGUUCAGAGAAUGUUUUUGACCGUUUCUGAGUGAGAUAGUAUAGAGAGUAAUGGGGAUGGAGGAAGGAACGGAUAGCAUGGGUUAUGUCUGUGUGAUUAGAUGAAUUGUCGGAAUCAGAACCCAUCUUAUCCUCUGUGAUUUGUCUCAAGCCCCCACGAGCCCCAAGUCAAGCGCCCAGCCCCACCGUUUAUUGUACAUAAUUAACACAUUGUGGUAAAUUUAACAAAUCACUAUUUUCUGUCACUUCUGAUUCUACCUAAAUCAGAGACUUUAUCACGAGCAAUUUGCCACUCUUUAGCAUUGUUCUCAAGGGCAACUUGCCCCAGUAAUUCUUUGCGUAGAAAGUCAGCACCUUCUGGCAAUACAGGAAGAAGGUGGGAGUCAGGUGGGUUAGAAAUAGAGAAGAAAAGAAAAACCAACACCUCUGACCUGUAGAAUGUGGGGCAAAUAUGUUGGCAAUGUAUAAUAGAAUCCAAGGUUGAAAGGGAUCUUUCAAAAAAACCUCAGUUUUAGUUCUCACGGAGUGCAGCAAUCAUUUUUAUAACCAUAUGUCUGAUAUCCACCCCCCACCCCACCUCUUCUUGAAUGCCAUCCAUAAUUCUUGAGUAUCAGUCUGUUCCUUUGUUGCUAGAAAUGUCUUUCUUAAGACAAGUGCUGUCUUCAUAGAACCUCUAGUCUUGACAAUCCUCUACUUGACAAUUCUUCUAAUAGAUGAAGGUAGCUUUCAUGUUUCAUUACUUUUUCUCCAAGUAAAAAAAUUAGUGCUUUAAUAGCUCCUGAUAUUGUUAACCAACCUCCUCUGCAGAUACACAGUAAGUCCUUUUUGUAAUUUCCAAAGCCAUGGGGCUGUGGUUUAAAAUACAUUAUCUAGAACCUAAUUUUUUAAAUUAUGUAAGUAAUACAUGUAUAUUAUGCUGAAUCAUUCAUAAUUCCACCCUGAAGUAACCACUGUUUACAUUUUCAUGUGCUUUUCUUUAUGUAUUUUAUAUCAUUUUAAAAAAUAGGUUAUAUAAAUAAUUUUGAGUCCUGCUUUGUUUCCAAUGUUAUGGUUCCAACAAUUUUCUAUGCCUUUAACGCUCUUUUAGAAGAUGUCAUCAGCAAUUCAUCCUAUAUCGAGUAUUCUCUUCUGAUAAUACCUUCUUCUUGACCUCUUCACCCUAAGUAUCUGCAAAGAUUCUUUUUAAAGUAGUUAGUCAACAUCAGGAAGAUGGCUACAAAGACUUGAAGAGCUGGCCUGGUAAUCAUUGAUAACAAAACACUUCAGGUACAACAGAAAGCCAAUGCUUUCUAUUUGAAAAGUUAGCUUAAACUGAGAACACUUUCUUCUUUGUUGACUAAGUCUUCCUUCUUGAAAAGACAUUUCUUAAGCAGAUAAAGAAAUUUACACCCUCAGUUCAUAAGGUAUUUAAUGUUUAUAUUCUCAUGAUGACAAACGGAGAGCCAUUAGCACAAGGAGACUCUCUCCUGAUGACAGAGGUGGAUCUCCAGUGAAAGGAAUCAAGUGAAGGUAAAGCAGCACAAGGCUUUGUAACCAUAGUUACUUUAAGUCUAAGAUUAUAAAGCUAUUGUUUCCAUUAUGAAAGAUGCAUUAACAUUCCUUUAUGUCUACUCUUGGAAACCUUGUUAUCGUGACUAGCCUAUUUACUUACGUAUCUCUUAAGAGGUGGUUAGACUUAACUAAUUCUUAAACAUUAACCUUGAAGAUAUGUUCUGGAGGGUGGGAGAAGGGUUUUACUCUUUGAAAAUGGGAUGGAGUAAAUUCAAUGAAAUGCUCAAAUUCUGAGCGUAGCAGAAACUUUACCUUAUGGACUUAAGAAUUUACUUCUACUUAAUCCAGAAAAUUCUGGAAAUGCCCUCUUAUAUCAAUAUGCAUACACCUGAAUGAAGUGAAGGGUGAAAUGGGGGUACUUUGGAAAGCAAUCCUAAAAAGAAAAUUGUUAUGUAUUUAGCAGUAAAUCAUUCUUCUAGUUGUAGCAGCUGUUUUCUUGUAAAUGGUGAAAAUAUUCAUGGUAAAAUAUGGGAAUCAUUCAUAUAUUCAUGACAACGAAGUUUCAUGGUAAAAUACGGGAAUCAUUCAUAUAUUCAUGACAAUGAAGUAGGAUGUUCUUUUAUGACUAGGCUAUUACCACAUUAAAAGAAACUGCUGCCUCAGAUUUUUUAUUUUCCCCUUUGUAGCAAAUAUUCUAACAACCACACAAUUUUAUCAUUUGCAUUGAGCACUGACUACAGUAAACAACUCUAUCAUUGUAAAAAGCACUCUCUCAUUGCUAUUUCCAUUUUCGAAGAAGGAAUAAUAGUGUGAGUUGUUCCUAAUUGUUUAUAAUAAAUUUUCAGCAUUAAGACGUUUUUAACUUAGUUUUCAAAAACAUUCUAAACAUCAGUCUUAGCCUUAUUAAAGACUUUUUCUGAAAUUUUGUAUUGCCUUGUGGAGCAAGAGGAACUUAACUCUCACUGAAAGCAGGCCUAUAUAAUUUAAUAUGAUAAUCUUCCCCAAAUAGACUCUAGAUGCUUACUCGGGUCCUGUGCAUCCAGGAAAUUUUACUUGGACACAAUUUUCUCAGAGAAGCCUUCUGUUUCUCUGCACCAAAGCAGCCAUGCUGCCAACACACUCCCUGAUCACAUUUUAAGUCCUCUUAGCACGCUAAUUGUAUUUGACUCAGCACAUUUUAAAUUCUUACUCAAUUCUUGUCUUUUUCACCAAGUUUAAAACUAUGUCAAAGUAAACUAUCUAUGCUUUCCUAGUAUUGUUUCCUCAGGACCAUGCAUAGUGCUUUGCACAUGGCUGUCCUUCCAUAAAUGUUUGCUGAAUGAAUAAAACUGAUGCAUUAAAUGUGCUGUGUUAUGUUCCCUGAAGCAUGAACUUUUCCAUAAUACCACUUUAUCAGUUUUGUCUGAGAAAAAAAGAUGAGAAGUGCAACUCCAUGCUUUGGAAGGCAAAAUCUAGAAUAUCUGACUUGACUCAUACCCAUAGUUAGUGACAUAGCCUACCCUCUUGGAUUAAGCUUGAGACUUUCUCCCUCUCACCCCAACCUCUAUUCCACCUCAGGAAGAGUAUAAACAUAAACCAAGGGCAGUAUUGGGUGAUGAGCAAGGAUAUGAAACCUUUUAUGUGACAAUAGAAGUUAAAACAUUUUGUGUUCCCAUAGUAAAUAUUGUGAUUGGGAAGAACUAUUUGUCUCCUUGAGAAGAGUAUAGAGACUUUUUCAACUUGACUGUUUCCUUGAGGAUAAGGAAAGAAAAUGCAUUAUUACAACUGAAAAUGAAUGAAUGAAGAUCCUGGGUAAAUGUAUUGUGGAAAUAAUAUUUCAUGGAAGAUACUCCCCCUUUAUUCUAAGCACUGCCAAAAGUGAUUUGAUGCUGAAUGUAACAUUCAGGGUAAAAUAAUAAGAUCAGAAGGGAGGGUAUUAUAGUUAUAUUAAUCUAGUCCGAUCCUUUGAAAUCUGUGUAAAAGUACUGACAAAGCAGUUAUUUCCAAAUACAUUUGGGAAUGUAUUUAUAAUAAAAGCAUACUAUCAAAUAAAUACACGUAAGACAAAUAAUAAAUUGCCUUUGUUGAAGUGAAUAAAGUUAGAUUAAAUUCACAAUUACUGUAAAACCAGCACAUUGUGAAUAACAAACAAACAAAAAACCAACCUGUAGUCUGGAGCUCCAUGUUCUAGUACAACUUUUUGUCUUAAAAUUAUCAUGGACAUUAUGAUAAAUUAUCAUAAUCUAUUUGAGGUUCAGCUUCACCACAGGUAAAAAUACACUUAAAUUAAAUGACCUUAAAUAUUCCUACCAACUUUACUAUUGUAUUAGUCCAUUUUCAUACUGCUGAUAAAGACAUAUCCGAGGCUG